rnacentral:pre_miRNA from 1 species
CAAGUACUCCCUCCGUCCGGAAAUACUUGUCAUCAAAAUGAAUAAAAGGAGAUGUAUCUAGAUGUAUUUUAGUUUUAGAUACAUCCCUUUUUGUCCAUUUUGAUGACAAGUAUUUUCGGACGGAGGGAGUACCAA